CUGAUCAAAGUAGGAGUACACUGAUAAAACAGUGAUCUAUAUUGUAUUUAUCCCAUGUAAUCCUAGUGACCAGGCCAGGAUACGAAAUAGGAAAUGAGGCACACAUGCGGUUUCCAGAAAAGCCAGCCGAGGUUGUCAAAACACCCGCACAGAGUCCACCCUCAUGUCUCCCCGCCGAGCCCGGGCGUCGCGGCAGACAAUCACCUGUGUUUCCUCGGCACAAAGUGCUCUCUGUGUCCGCCGGAGCUCCCCCGCUUUAAUGGAGGUGAUUGGCCGUGUUCAGCACAGCACGUCCGCCGCCGUGUGUGAUUAAUCACCGUGUUAAACGCUGGAGCUCGGCGUCCCCUGAGGUGGAGAUAGGGCGGCAGGCCGACGGGGACCCCGGGGAAACCGUGACGCCCCGGGUCAGCAUGCGUCGGUAGCAAAUGAAAGAGUGAGAGAAAAAUCAUCAUCCGUCACAUCUGGUUUACAUUAAGUCGGAGGGCCAUGCCUGAUGGCUCCUGCUGCUGGAGUGUCUGAGGCUUUGACGGUGGCUCUGUGUCGUGUGGCGUUGGCGUCCGCCCUGUGCCAGGCGGCGUGUGUGGUCAACAGGCGACUGGCAAGCUGUAGGGGACUGCGGGUCAAGGCAGAAGCCCCUUUGGUUCAAUGUUCGUCUUUCUCUUCGAUCGACCCACUGCGGAAGCAAAUGGUCUGUCUUCCUGUUGCUGAGGAGGAAUGGAGCAGAGAAGAUUUUUCAUUCAUAUGGCUGAGUUGAGUGUGUGUACAUGAUGACAGAUACAUAUUGGAGUUGGAUUGUGUGUACAAGUAUAUUGUUUAAUGUGUCCGUAUAUGUGUGUUUUUCUGUACUUAGAAUAUCUGUUUGCUCUUGAACUUAUAUCUUUGUUAGCAGUUUUAGAUUUAUACCUUGAAAGUGAGGACGCUUCACAUUUUGAAGAGCCAUUUGAGGGUUAAUACUUAAAGCUUAAUUGGAACUUGGGUCUUGUUUUACAGUUUUGGCCUUCAUUCAUAUUUGUAAUAUCAGUGUCACUGCUAAAAAAGUCAGAUGUAGCAGGAAACAUGAGCAACCACAUGAUCAUACAAGUUUGACUUACCACACUGUAGUUGUACAUGUACGCACUUUUCCUGUGCAAUGAGGGACUAUUACCAACAUUUUUUUUUGUUUUACCUACAAAUAAAA